AAACUCUAUUGUGUUGUGACGUUUAUUUUGUAUGGGGAAAAUAAAAAUAAACAACAAUUGAGAAUAAGAAAGAUUAAAACAAUGCAUCAGUGUGAGAAAUAAAUUGAGAUAAUGCCGAAAAAUUCGAAAUGCGUGGUGCCUCAUUGCGGGCAUGCACAACAGAAGAAUAAAGAAUGUAUUUACGUGAAAUUUCCCCGAGAAGUUGAAAGAUGCAAGAAAUGGGUACAGGCUGGGAGCGUAGAGGACCUCACAAGCUUGUCAAUAGAGAAGCUCAAUGGGAUAC